CUUACCAAGUAACCAUUACGAGCGAUGGAGCCCUGCCUUUCUGAGGAUGGUUGAACACCUGCCUGCCAAAAGGAAGUGGGUUGAGUGAGUUAAGUGUGUCUGUGUGGUGCUUAGCCGCUAGCUGGAGUUAAACUCUGACAUCACCCUUAUGCAUAAACUGCCUGGCACUUAACAGGAUGAGAGAGCUUGAUCCUCCCCAGUCCAGGAGGUUGAAUAUUUUUUUCCCUUUGAAAAUUAUCUGCCAGUUGAAUGCAAGAGUAGCUGAUUCAUGGAAAUGCAAAAUCUGGUCCUAGCAGUUUUGUACCUUUCCCAAAGUGCAGCCACACAGAUCCAAGACAGAAUAAUACUGAGAAAAGAAGCGAAAAUGAAGAUAAUAGGAGUAUUAUCU